rnacentral:lncRNA from 1 species
AGUCUGGAUGGACUUGGUAGGUAUGGUGGAUAGUGGUGGUUCAGUCUGGAUGGACUUGGUAGGUGUGGUGGAUAGUGGUGGUUCAGUCUGGAUGGACUUGGUAGGUGUGGUGGAUAGUGGUGGUUCAGUCUGGAUGGACUUGGUAGGUCGUGGUGGAUGGUGGUGGUUCAGUCUGGGUGGGCUUGGUAGGUGUGGUGGUUCAGUCUGGAUGGACUUGGUAGGUAUGGUGGAUAGUGGUGGUUCAGUCUGGAUGGGCUUGGUAGGUGUGGUGGUUCAGUCUGGAUGGGCUUGGUAGGUGUGGUGGAUAGUGGUGGUUCAGUCUGGGUGGGCUUGGUAGGCGUGGUGGAUGGUGGUGGUUCAGUCUGGGUGGGCUUGGUAGGUGUGGUGGUUCAGUCUGGAUGGACUUGGUAGGUAUGGUGGAUCGUGGUGGUUCAGUCUGGAUGGACUUGGUAGGUAUGGUGGAUAGUGGUGGUUCAGUCUGGAUGGACUUGGUAGGUGUGGUGGAUCGUGGUGGUUCAGUCUGGAUGGACUUGGUAGGCGUGGUGGAUAGUGGUGGUUCAGUCUGGAUGGGCUUGGUAGGCGUGGUGGAUAGUGGUGGUUCAGUCUGGAUGGACUUGGUAGGCGUGGUGGAUAGUGGUGGUUCAGUCUGGAUGGACUUGGUAGGUGUGGUGGAUAGUGGUGGUUCAGUCUGGAUGGACUUGGUAGGCGUGGUGGAUAGUGGUGGUUCAGUCUGGAUGGGCUUGGUAGGCGUGGUGGAUAGUGGUGGUUCAGUCUGGAUGGACUUGGUAGGUGUGGUGGAUAGUGGUGGUUCAGUCUGGAUGGACUUGGUAGGCGUGGUGGAUAGUGGUGGUUCAGUCUGGAUGGACUUGGUAGGCGUGGUGGAUAGUGGUGGUUCAG